UUGGUCAAUUAUGGUAUGUCC
rnacentral:siRNA from 1 species